CUCAAGUGGAAUAACCUGGAAAUGAUGACUGUGGUUUACUUACUGCUGAUACUCAGAGUGGGACGAUGCACAGAUGAUCGGAUCUUUGAGAACAGGACUGUUGGUGUGGGAGGCGAUGUGAGACUGACUUGUCCUCGCAAGUCUACGGGAAGCUUGUUUUGGAUCAGGAUCGUUUCUGGAGAAUUUCCUAAAAUCUUAGGAAAAACAUUUAGCUUUGAGAGUGAUCCUCGCAUUACCGCCACAGAGGAGGACAUUUGUUCUGCAUAUUGCAAAAGCAAGGCUAAGUGAUACUGCAGUUUACUAUUGUAUGAAAAUACAUCGAUAAAACUUCACAUUUUUGAAAGGAGCAGACCUGAGAGUUGAAGGACCAGAACCUGAUCCCACUGCUGUCCCUCCAUCUGAUCCAGUCGGUCCAGGAGACUCAGUGACUCUGCAGUGUUCAGUCCUCUCGGACUCUGAGAACAAGACGUGUCCAGAAGAACAAAGUGUGUUCUGUUUCAGAGCUGGAUCACAUCAAUGUGACCCAGAUUUUAAUUAUACUCAAGAAUCCAGAGGGACUCUUGACAAAGAAAUGUAUCUACAGCUUCUUUAAGAACGUCAGCUCCUCUGAUGGCGGGACUUAUCACUGUGCUGUGGUCACAUGUGGGGAGAUAUUUUCUGGAAACGGAUCAAAACUCGAAACUGAAGCAGUCAACAUGCAGGACUCUCAGAAGGACCAUACAGUUCUCUGUCUGUUAGAUGCUGCUUUGGCUAUAAGUCUGAUUGUUAUAGCCUUUCUCAUUUAUUCAAUCAAGAAGCUUGUUACGUCCCCAUUUCAAUCAGGAGAUACUUCCUUGCAAAUAUGAACAUGUUUAUUGUACAGGACAAAAUAUGAAAAAUGAAAUGUGCAAAGUCUCUGAAGA